AUGGGGAUAAUAAGCCAGCUACUCGCUAGGUGGCGCUAGUAAAAUAAGGGGUAAACAAUGCUGACCCAGAUUCUUAUCUCACUACACUUUGCAAUGGAUUCUGAGAAGAAAUCAAAAUAUUUUGGAUGGAAAGUUAUACAAUUACAGAGAAAAUUAAUAAAAAGAGGGGCAUCAAUCAAAGGCAGAAAGGAAGAUUUGUUAACAAGACUUUAAGCAUAUGACAGAAAUCAAGACUUCAGGGAUGAACAUAUAUUCUCCUACCAGAACCUCUGGAUUCCGACUGGUCCACUGAAGGGUUUCAUCAACUGCAAGCAGACCAUAGGAUCCACUUCCCUAAAUUGGGAAGCAAUAUGAAAAAAAAAAAACAGCAGUUAAGAAAUUUGAAAAACAAACGGGAUAUAGUGUCAACAACUGUAGUUUAUUCAUAUGUAGAGAAAGACCAUAUCUGGCUGCAACACCCGACGGAGUCAUCAAUGAACAAACAAUAGUUGAGGUUAAAUGUCCAUAUGCUGGGAAAGAAGAAAUGAUCGAACCUGGGAAAUUGUUUCCAUACUUGGAGUAUACGGACGGAGAAAUUGAGCUAAAGAAAACUUCAAACUACUAUUAUCAGAUACUGGGACAGAUGUAUAUAAGUAAAAGACAAUAUUGCUUUUUCAUUAUGUAUAUAUUCAAGGAUAUUUUUGUACAAAAAAUUGAACCAGAUCAUGAGUACUGUAACACAAAGCUAGAACUGUUCUACAAAAAGUAUCUGCGGAAAUAAAUAGCUGAUCAUCUGUGAAAUAACAUUGAUGAUGAUAUAUGUAGACAUUUGCAGUACAAUAUGAUGUUCAUUCUAUGAUAAAUAAUUGUAUGUAGUUGAAAUAAAUAUAUAACAGCCCAGCA
rnacentral:lncRNA from 1 species